rnacentral:pre_miRNA from 1 species
CAACUACUCCCUCUGUCCCAAAUUUCUUGUCUUAGAUUUGUCUAGAUACGGAUGUAUCUAAUACUAAAAUGUGACUUGAUACAUCUGUAUCUAGACAAAUCUAAGACAAGAAUUUUGGGACGGAGGGNAGAUUUG